CUCCUUUGUCGCAAGUGGAGAUGCGAUGAAAUAUGGCUGUGCAUUGGUGAUAGGUACUCCGGAGUGCACCCAUGAUACCAGAAUCCAUUCUGCAAUCUACAAGCAACAGCAAAGAUUUGGGUGGAGGCACUGCGUCACUGAGAAUAGAGAAGUAUGUGGACACAUUCAUACAGCCCAGGCUGCAGCACCUGGCAGGGCACGGACUGAGGGGGUGUCACACUUACAAGACUGUGUUUAAUGAUAGCAUUUCUUUGUCUUUACAUGACAUACAGGCAGCACUCUUUUCACUACAAGUGGCGAGCUAUUGAUGCUAAGUCUCUUUUAUUGAUUGUGGUAGAAGAGAUCGGAUCUGUCCUCGUCCUGCUCGGGUUUCUUCGUACAAGCAUUCACCUGUCUGCAGGUGACAACCUCACCCCCUCCGCAGUGUAGCUGGGCCUCCUUCCUCAGACGUGCCCCUUUGUACUGCUCUAAUGGGCUCUUGUUCCCGUCCGGUCGGCCAUUGUCCAGGACACGCUCUUCCCAGGCCCUCCUCACUCUGUAUCGUGUGCCAUCUAUUCAGCCCUCUUGUCGUCAGUUCAAGCGGAGACAAUUUCCCUUCGGCUCACAAUGUUUGGUGAAGAAUGUAGCUGUUCCGCCACGGAGUACAUCGCCCACUUCCUAUACAUUACAGCGCACAAUGACGCCUGAUUCUUCCAUCUAAAUGAGGCCAUCGUCGAGCCGCUGAAAUGAAGCUAUUCUGCCAACACAAAGGGCCAGAUUCUUAGGCAAACACAAUAUCCAUCAAUAAAGGAAAAUCCAGUGACAUCACAAUCUCAAAGGUUCUCAUCCUCAUCCCUCAAGUGCCCCCCAACAGAGUCUUCCUUUCUGGCCCUUAUUUCAGAAAAGGAUGUCUUAUAAAAUAAUAGGACUGUGUUACUCCUAAUGCACCCUGACACGGCGCCUGACCGCAGCGGAGAACGGAUCAGCCGAGCAGCCAGCCCAGCCGGUGAAUGCUAUAUUUGCAUGCUAACUUGUUUCUCAUGUUGCAACACACAAGGACAAGAUAUGUGAUAUAAACAUUCCCAAUGUUCCCUCUUGGUGGACGGCUUGGCCUGAUGCUGUGUGUUCUAUUAAGACCAUAUGUCAGACAUAUAUUUUUAGUAAAGCGUGACCUUGUGCGUUGCUAUGCCAUUUCCCUCUGGCACAUGUGAGAUGGAAAAGAGCCUCUUCCUCGCCUCGCAUAAAACUCUACAUGUGCGAAAAAGAGGGAUCUCAAUAAAGAGUCUUUUCAUUCCUGCGGGCCGCAGGGUCGACGACGGGAAGUACAAAGGGCAAAAAGCUCCAAUUGGGAAACUUUAACAUCUGUGACAGGCUUGGUCUCAUCCUUACCCUACACUACAUCGGGCCGCUCUAUAUAUACAUAUAGUCCCCGAUGAAAGGCUUCUACCCGAAAUCCCUUUCAAGAGGACAAUUUGCCAAAAAGUGAUCUGCUUAUUCACAUGAAUUGUCACACGCGUCCAGGGGAAGAACAUAUGUUAAAUGUAUGACGAAUCGCCUUUGGCUCAUCGGUUGGGUGGAUGACUCUCAGGCGUUGCUGGCAGAGGAGCUGUGGUAUUAAUGGGCAGCAUAUUUCUGCCUGUAUAUUUUAUGACGGCAGUGUAGCUCAAUGACUGCCUCCUGUGCAUUCGCAAAUCAGAAAGGUAAUUAUUUAUAUCUUGUCAAAACAUUUCAGCAGCCCGUUCAGGCAAUCGCAGUGCAACUUCAUCCUUUAAAGCACGAGCAACCAGGCUUCCUGGGUGUAUUGGACCCGGCUCAUUUAAACUAGAACUAAAAACAAGAAAUCCAUGUACAGGGAUUUAAAUGACACUGCGCCGGCUUCUCUUACUGCCAGGUGAAGUCUCAUGUCCGAUCACUCGCAUGGCAGCUGUUGUAUAAAUAGGACAUGGGAAAUAAAAUGGUGUAAUGAUC